UUUCUUAUCUUCAUCUUAUCCUCAUCAUCUUCUUACAAACAAAACAAAAUGGAUGGAGAAAAAAAAUCUUAAAUCAACUUGGUUCAUAUACCUACUUAUGUAAUACAUGUGAACGCGUAUUUAGAGGAUAAGAUGUACAUCAAUUGUACUUUGAUUACUUUUGAUUAGUUUUCUCAUCAUCAUCAUCAUCUCUCUGGCAAGAGAAUAUAAUUUUCACUUUUCAAUUUCAUCUUCUGUUUAUUAGAAAAUAAUGAGGGAGAAAAAUAUCGAACAAUUUAUAAGGGAAAAAAAUGAAGAAUAUAAUAUUAUUUAAGACAAGAUCUUUUUCUGAUUCUUGUUCAAUAUCAAUUUUUUUUCUCUUCUUCUUCUUCUGAUAGUAAUAGGCUACUAUUGCGUGAGAAAAUUAAUGAUCUCUCAUAUGUCCAAUCAUGUAAACGGGCUCAGAAUAAGAUGAGUUAGAGAGAUAAAAAAACAAGAAGAUGAAGACGAAAAAUGAUGAUAUAAUAAUAGCUUCAUCUUCAUCAUCAUUAUCAAGUUCAUCCUUUUCUAACGUGCUAUACUCUCUCUCUCUCUCUCUCUCUCUCUCUCUCUCUCUACAGGUCACUUGAAUAUUGUGUGUAUGUUAUGGUAAAGCAAACAGAGUUAACGUUUACCUGGAUUAUUGUGGGAAAAUCAUGAAUCUUAUUUGAGUAUCCACCAGGAUGAUGAUGUUUUCUCUGCCUCUCUCAUCUUCCAGGGUAUUUUCUUAUUAUUAUAAGGGAGUGAUUAGAAUGAAGAAGAAGAAGAAGAAGAAGAAAAGAAAGAGAUGAUUAUGUUAUUAUGUAAUAUAUGGGGAUGAUAAGGUCUUUUUAUCAUCUGUAGGACUUUUAAAUGUAAUAACAUAGUUUUUCUUACCACUUUCUGUUUCAAUCAUCUCUCUCUCACUCACUCUUUUUGUUGAAUUAAAAUCCAUACAAACAAAUCUAUUGAACGAUGUAUUUGUAUAUAUGGAUGUUUUUUUUUCUUCAUCAUCUCAUUCAUCUUUCUAUUUCUUUUAUAUAAUAUUUUCCAAAAUGGUGGGAAAAUACCUUUACCUCUAUUGACAUGGGAAGUUACAGUUCGUUGUAAUGUAACUAUGGUUCUCUCUCCCUCCCUCAUUUAAAUGGAAUAGUGUUUAUUUGAUUGUUAUCAUCAUCAUCUCUUUUCAUUCAAAUUGUAGUAUAUGUUUAAAAGUUAUACUCAUGUACAUAUAUCAUGUUAUUUGUCAGGCGUUAGAAAAUUAUAUGAUUACUAAAAGAAAAGAGGAUAAAAUGAUAAAUAAAGAUGAUGAAGAUGCUUUUGGAGGUGGAGGAGGAGGUAAAUCUACAAGAAAGGGAGAGGAUGAUAAUGAUGAUGAUGAUGAUGUUUGUUGUAUCUCAUUGUUACAGGCAAAGCAAAAUGGACAAGAUUUUUUUUUUCACUUCGUGUUGAUGCAAAGUGACCUAACAAGUUAUCAUAACCUUUCAUUAUACCAAGAGGUCACUAAGUAUACAGGUUCAAUGAAUUGAGCUGAUAAUUUACAUUAUGGAAUUGAAUUUGAAAAUUAUUCUCAAUCUAGUUAACCAUAAUUACCAUUAAUGCUCAAAGUGACAAUAACUUUUUUCCUCCUCACUGAUGAAGAUGAAGAUUAUGGUUUUCAUGUUGAUAAUAAAGAUGAAGAUGAAGAUGAAGAUGAAGAUGGAGAUGGAGAUGCGGAUGAUAAUGGUUAUGGUUUUCUUUUCUCGGUGAUAAUGAUGAUAAGUAAAAAGUUGUUACCGUUUUCUUUUUUAGCUAAAAUUUACUUUUCUUCGAGUGUUUUAAUGCAUUUAUUUUAUCUUCUUCUUCUUCUUGUUUACAGUUAUAAUGAAUUGAAUUUAAAGACUUAUUGAAGCUUAAGUUUACUUUUAAAAGGAUCUUGUAUACCAAAGAGAUGAGGAUGGCGGAGUCAACAUUGAAAAAAGAGAUGAACAUAAUCAGUAUCAUCAUUUGUGUUCUCAUCUUUAAAUAUUAUCAAUAUUUUAUCCUCUGGAAUUUGUGACCUUUGCGACACUGAUGAUAAUGGUGACGAUUACGACAAUUUAGGUCUACAGUUGGGAUUAGAUUGCGAUUAAUAUUUUACAGGAGAACAAAGGAAGAUGAGAAGAAGAAGAAGAUGAUGAUGAUGAUGAAGAGAAAAGUUAUUUGGGUCUCAUUUUUUUCUCUUCUUUCGUUCGAACUUGUUAAAGUCUCUUUGUUGGUUACUCUUCUCAACAGGUCACAAAGAAAGUCUUUGCGUCUUCGAAUUGACAUAUGGCCGUUUAUGCUUCUCUUUUAUCGUCAUCAUCAUCGACGCUAUGGUUAUCCUUUUCAAGGAGAAAAAGACUCAAAAACUAACAUAUGCUUCCAAAGGAUUUAAUCUGUUUCUUUUCUUAUUUCUUUGUGGACUCAACAGUAUUAGAGGUCAUCGUUGAGUGACACUAUACACUGACCUUUUACCCGAAUGUUAACCUACAGAGAGGACAAAAAUAUCCAUGACAAUGUGUUGAUCUAAUUUGAUAGGAACCACCAGUAACUAUUGAAAGAAACUAACAAGUAAAAGUUGAUUGAAACUCAAACACCUUCAACAAUAUUGUUAUGUACUUUUCGCAGUUGAUUGCUGUUGGAUUAUUGGCAGUUAGAUUUAUCUUCAACAAUUUAGAUUAUUGUAAAUUGCUUAAGGUUGAUUUAGAUUUUCAAAAUUUCAACUCAGGUCAACGGUCAAUCUGUUUGUCUAAGUUUACUGUUGUUUUUUUUGCAUUGAGAAGGUCAAACAAUUGGACUUAUAUGUGUGUAAACAAAGUGAAGGUGAUAAUGAGGCGAGAACAGAAUCAUUUUAAUCAUUUUGAUUGUUAUAUUUACUGAACUUUAAAUUGCUUAGAUAAUCAUAAAUCUCAAGCUCCAAUUCAAUAUGAAUGAUUAAAAUUUUGAUGAUUCUUGAUGAUGUUAAUAUUUAUUAUCAUUGGAGAAAUGAUAAUUUUUUUUAAUAGUAAAAUUAAUUGUCAUUAAUUUUUGCUGCAUUGAACUUGAUCAACAUGAUUUAUCAAGUGCAUCAAUUUAGUAUUUGAUUUUUGUAAUGAUCUUGAGGAAUACAGUUGAUUGUUGUUGAUUGUAAUGAGAGGCAAUUGGCUUCCUGGCCUAAAUUGGGUAACAUAAUUUACUUUCCAAAAAGUAAUCAUCUCAUUUGAUUGUUGAUUAUGAUUGUUCAACUGGAUAGACUA